rnacentral:rRNA from 1 species
UACGUAGGGUGCGAGCGUUGUCCGGAAUUAUUGGGCGUAAAGAGCUUGUAGGCGGUUUGUCGCGUCUGCCGUGAAAAUUCGAGGCUCAACCUCGAACUUGCGGUGGGUACGGGCAGACUAGAGUGUGGUAGGGGAGACUGGAAUUCCUGGUGUAGCGGUGGAAUGCGCAGAUAUCAGGAGGAACACCGGUGGCGAAGGCGGGUCUCUGGGCAGUAACUGACGCUGAGGAGCGAAAGUGUGGGGAGCGAACAGG